rnacentral:rRNA from 1 species
AUGUACUCGAUGCCCAACGGGGCGCAAGAACAGACCAAGGAGGAGGAAGGGAGCGGGGGUGAAAGUCAGGAGGUGUGGGAAUCCGAUGGCGAGGAGGAUGAAGAAGAUGCCGGCUCUGGUGAGGAAGAGGAGGAGGAAGAGGAGGAGGAAGUCGAGCCUCCCCGUACUGAAAGACGAUCCAAGCUCACCCAUGACCCCGCAGUCGAGCGUGGUAAGGCGGCCGUGCCUGUUGGGCAGUUGACUACACGUCCUCGCACGACCUCUCCGGCGCCGACUGAGAAAGCGUCGAAGCAACCCCGAGCAGCAUCAUCAAAACUGACGAAGGCCCUGCCGAAGAUGAGGAUGGUGAUUCCCACUAUUUCCGGGUAA